CGCGGCGUUUCCUAAACCGAACGAAAUACCGUCGCACCAAACGUCGAUUAAUUAAAACGCAUCCCUCCCAUCCGCCUGUUUGUAGGGAGGGGGCGGUAGAAUAUUUAUUUACGCCCGCGGUCGUCCGGGUUCCCGCGCGCGGGAAAACACCGAAAUCCGGCCGCGCCGGUUCAACGGACGUAAUAUUUUCAGACCGCCGGAUAUCACCGUAGGAGGAGAUUGCGAUGACGAAUCGGCCGACAACAAUAACAAUAAUAUUACCCGUAACAAUAAUACAAUAUCGCCCCCGCGCUUCGUUCUCGAUUUUCUCGAAUCUCUGCCCGCCUACCGCGCGGUAGCCCGACGCGUGAUGAUGAUGAUAAUAUAAAAAAAAAAAAUAUAUAUAUAUGUCUAUAUAUCAUACAGAACGAAAGGCGAUCCGUCCGGGACAAUCGUACAACACACGCGUUAAUAUCGAUAAUAAUACGCGCAUUUUUAUUUUUUUAUUUUUUUCAAAACACAAUAACCGCUGUAUACACACACACAUACACACACGCGCGCGCGCGCGCACACGCAUAUAGAUUAUUACCUACCUAUCUACCGUAUACUACUACUACUACUGCUACAACUACUACUACUACUACUACUACUACUACUACUACUACUACUACUACUGCUACUAUACUACCGCUGCUGCUGCUAUUAAACGCAACGAGAUAAUUGGUAUUUUAACGAACCGAACGUGACUGUGCUCGAAACGGACGGGACGCGGCGAAUCGAAAUCAAAUUAAAAAAAAAAAAAAAAAAACUAAAAAAAAAUCCACCUCGUAUAAACGAAUCCCCGAGUAUCGGGCCGCGCAUCGUCCGCCGCUACCCCGCCCACAAAAAUCGAAUCCGUUUUUCAGAAACCGGCGGACCGGCGGAAUUUCCAAUAUUAUUACACGCGUACGCGAUAACCCGACACACGUCGUCGCCUCGCAGACGCCAAGUCGAGCCGGAGUGUUAUUUACGAAAGCAGAUGCGGCCCGAAAAGUAGAGGUUCUCGAAAUUGUCGGAACACGCGCGAUUUCGUCCUUUGCGAUAUUGCGAUGUGUACCCCGCGGAGGCCGGACGAAUUCACAACGUCGAGUCGUAACCCCCGCCGCCGGUGGCGUAAUCGUGGGGGGCGACGGGGUAGAGGCGAUCGCCGCUUCGACAUUUUCGCGGGCACUGGGCGGAGGUAUCGUUUUGCAACCCCCCACCCCCUCCCCCGCCCCCACACACAGAUAAUCCGACAGUACGAAUCUUUGAGUCUUCUCGAAUUACGAAAGAAUGCAACACACGGGCACAUUCACCGAACUCGUUACUUUUUUUUUCCCCCGCCGCUUACAACGCUUUUUUGUUAAUGAAAUUUUGUGCCGCGGGUAUGUGAUAUUACUAUGCAACAAUAUCAUGGGUACCUACAAUUCGUUUCCGAACCGUAAAAAGAGUUUUAAGAUUUGUGUACAAACACACAAAUAUAUCGGUAUACCGUGUGUACAUGCAAUAAAAAUAUAAUUUAACCGGGCGGUAUGGGAGGGGGCUCGGGGUUUCGAUUAUGGCGGAUAAAUUAUUUCGCCUCCCCUAGAUCCGUAUCCGGUUACGCCACUGCCUGCCGCUGUCCCAUUAUCGUCGUAUUGUACCGUCGGACGGCUGCGCGACGCACCCGGAGAUACCCGACGAUAUCACCUACUGCAUAGGACGCCCGAACCGGUGUCCUCACGGUGCCCGCGGAUUCCCUGUUCUGCCGUCGGGUACUCUUACCGGCGGGAGUCGUCUCCCGGCGCCUUGAAUAUUGACGGUUUUUAGACGUGCCGCGGCGUUUCUUCGGCCGGUAUACCGCAAUCAGCGUAUCGUAUCGCAAUAUAGUGACGUGUCGGUGUCACACGAGAGAAACGAUUAUUAAUACCGUCGUCGUUGAAAAUCGAUUUCCCGAGCGAAAUUACCCUUACGUCUUUGGAUUUUGAAAACGAAAAAAAAAAAAAUAAUAAAAAAAGUCGGUAUUUCAACCGAUAUACGUGUAAAUAUUAUACCAUACUGGUUCAUUUCAACAUUGACUGGUGGCUUACGAUUUCGAAUAUCACCAUAUCGGGUAGGUUAGGUCGGCGUACAUCGGAAUACCGGUAAAAAAAGGUUUCGGCCCGUCACUAAAAAAAAUGAAAAAAAAAAGUGAGAGUUUUACGUUCGAAAUAUACCGCAGCCAAUCGCGAGUUAUUAUUAUCAAGGCUCGGAAGUUAUAGCGCUAAAAAAGCAUUAAAAUUGUUUAGUAUUAUAGCCGUAAAAAAAAAAAAAAUAAAAAUCUAAAAUUGCAUUAUCGCUGUAAAAAUAAAUGCGCUUAAAAAUCGCAAUAAAUUAUUUUAUUUACCGAACGAAUGUAAAAAUAUACUCCACGAUUCGGGGGAUGGGGGGGGGACAUAAUAACUCGUGCGGCAUCGUCGUCGUCAAACAAUAUUCCCGCUGGCCGCCGUCACAAUCGACAAACCCGGAAACAGCCGUCGAUUGUUGUUACUCGUUAACGGAUCGUUAUACUAACCCCGACAAAUAUUAUCAAUGACCGACGUUAUUUUAUUUGUAAUGUGGAAAAAAAAAAACUGAAAACCGAGUGAACAGUGUUUGCGAGUUGUAAAACAAUGUGCGCGUUAACGAACGGCGAAAAUCGCGUAAGAGGUCGCGCCGAAAACGGUCGCAUCUCAAUUCGCGCGCGAGCGGUGCGAACCGAAGAGACGAAACCGACAAAACGGAACGGUCGGGGAACACAAGCGUCGCGAAACCCCCGGAGCCCCGGCCGUCGUUCGCAGCCGUUCGCCGCGCGUUAUUGUUUCGCACGAGCGCGGGCAAACUCGGAAUCGGCGACGGUCGGCGCGGUCAUUACGGUUUGCCGGUCGAUUUGCCGGUGACGCGCGCCGGACGGACAACAACGUCGCCGCCCGCGGUCAUUGCAGCCGUGCGUCGCGUGUCGCGGACGUCGCCGCCCGCGCACAAAUGUUAACAGCGACAACGAUGUUAUUCUGUUUUCGUCGCCGUGUUUGACCGCGUCCCGCGUCCGGAACUCCGGACGAUCUCCGCC